rnacentral:rRNA from 1 species
GCCGCCUACGGGGCGCAGCAGUGGGGAAUAUUGGACAAUGGGGGGAACCCUGAUCCAGCGACGCCGCGUGAGUGAAGAAGUAUUUCGGUAUGUAAAGCUCUAUCAGCAGGGAAGAAAAUGACGGUACCUGACCAAGAAGCCCCGGCUAACUACGUGCCAGCAGCCGCGGUAAUACGUAGGGGGCAAGCGUUAUCCGGAUUUACUGGGUGUAAAGGGAGCGUAGACGGCAGCACAAGUCUGGAGUGAAAUCCCGGGGCUUAACCCCGGAACUGCUUUGGAAACUGUGCGGCUGGAGUGCAGGAGGG